GUUCAGCUAGCCGCCCGUAAAUUCAGGUUGAGUUUACUGUAUUAAGUAUUCAUCUCUUCAAUAGCAAAUUAAAAUAUAAAAAUAUCUAAAAGAUACCUGUUGCUUCAUUUAUUUCCUUUUUUGUGCAGAAUUUGAUGAUAGGGAACACAAGUACAAGUGACGGGGUCGUGGGCCCUGUGUCUCUACCAUACUGGUUAAUCAGUACAGCACCACGUCCACCAUUAACUAGAACAGCCCCAGAUGUCAAGAGGGGGGCACACUGGCGCCUCGCCGAUUUAGUAUCGAUACUAUAAUUUCUCUUGCUCAAUUCUAGCAAUAAAAUGUGUGUUUUCUACAUCUAAACAGAUGUCACUGGUAUGCUGAGAAAUGAUGAAGACGGCGAUCCACAUGGAGAUCAGUUUGAAGUAGCGAGGCAUCUUUGAGUUUCUGACAGCUGCGGACUGCUCCCGUUUUCAGUCACCUGUGCUUGAUCAACCCUAUAACUAGAUGAUGCUGCGCAGCAUCAAAAAAGGAUCAUCGAAAUUGUGUGGACGAGAUGAUUCGUGCUAACUGUCGAAGUUAAUUAGUGCCAGUGUGUAGAGAAACAGAGGAGAAAAACCUUUCAAGAUUUGUUUCUUCGUCUUCAAACGUCCAAUAAUUGAACUGAUUAUACGGUGUGGCAUUAUAUGCACAACCGGUUCACUUUAGUCCGAUACUUUGACUGACACUUAAUGAGGUUUUAAUGUUUGCAGCUAUUUUUAACUUCGAGGGUCUUCGUCUCCCUAACUUUCAGUGGGACAAUUGCGAGACCGUAUGCUUCACAAGCUAUCCUACAUUUCCUCAAUACACUUCGACUCCUGUUAGUUCGCGCAUUCUCCAAAUCUUUCACCAAAGAAAAUUGUCUGGUCACUGGUUCUGAGAGAUUGGCACGCUACAUCUGCCAGUGAAGUACAGACAAAAGUGGGCGGGACACAGGAAUUUCACCAUUUAUUUGUACAGAUAUUGUCGCAUUGUCUUCGGAAAACGGACGACGGUCUCCUACCCCUCUCCCCCUACCACCAACAAUUCGAAAGGAUUUUCGGCUAGCCAACAUUUAAAGUAUUCUUCUGCCAUAUAGACAGCAUUCACUUAAUUUCAUACAUGCCUUUUCCGAGAUUCGAACCUGGACUCAACGCUAUGGCAGCCUACAUCGCUAACCGCUAUAUCUGUUAGGAUGGCGGCAACAUCCCUCAUCCAGGAUAAUAAAAGAACUCUGGCAUAGAAAUGAAGCCGAAGAAAUGCAGUAUCACAAAAAAAAAAAAUCUGAAUUUGCUCAGUUGAGGCCCCAGCCCUAUAAAAGUUUUUAUUGUUACCAAAGGCGAAUGACUACUCGGGUUACUGAUUUCUGUAUAUUCUCAACAUCAAAAUUACCUAACAUUUUAAUUAUUUCAGCCUCUCAUUAAAACGUAUUUGAAAGUAAACAUCAUUAUACUAACGUUGGCAUGAAUAUAACCGCGUGUUUUCAAUGGUGUAGUAUUUUAACGGCGAGUAGUGUACUUCUAUAUGAGAGAAGACUUCUAAAUAAUAAGAGAAACAAAAUUUGAUUUCUCUUUGGAUGAGAGCAUUUAAAUUUCACUAGUUUGUAACACAAAUAUAAUUCAAGUAAUCUUACUUCUUUAAGUGUGCACAAAGGCAAAACAUUUUACCAAAAAAGUGGUUCAUUUCUUAAACGAACAAUGUUCAAAAUAUUAAAAAUACC